GAAAUGCAACAUGAGUGGGCUCUACUAACUUGCAGAAGAAGGUAGCUUGUUGCCACAUGUGGCUAAAAGGAUAUGAGAGUGGCUUUAUAGGAAGAGCAGAUGUAGAGUGUGAGAUGGUGCAGAUAGAUGUUCUGAACUAAAAUAUGGAAGCUGAUGGGAAGGAGGAUUAUGAACUAGCGGCAGCAUUUUCUGCAUAGCCCGUGAAGGCUUGUACAUCAGUGAGCAAACCCUGUCACUCUCACAUUUUGGCCUUGCUGCACAGAGGUUAGGGAGGAUACAGCGACAACACUUUGCACUUAAGUGUUUUUCAUCUGAAUAUCUCAAUGUGUUUUACAUUGGAAGCAAAGCAGAAGAAAUACAACUUGAGUAUUAUAAGCAACGAUGACUUGAAAAAUACAAAGGAGAAAAAAGAAAAUAGAAAGCCCCAUCACAUUUUGUGUGGUCUUAUGGUGGAGUACUCCAAGGCAGGCAUAAAAGCUCUCUCCAUUAAUUUUCUAUUUAUGUAUUUUGAUCAUAUUGAUUUUUCUCUUUAUAUUUCUCCAUCUGAAAUUGUUAUUCAGAUUGUACAUUUCAUGCUGUCAGUGCACAGAUCAGGAGUAUUUAUUAUGGCCAGAAACUUAGACAAAUCUCUCCCUCCUGCCUCCCUCCCAGUACCAACCCUGCAUGGCAGGUUUUGCUUGUAGAAAAGCUACACUUAAGUUUGGUUGCAAAACUUGCUCUUUCCAAGUGAUCAUAACUUUCCAGGAAACUUUUCUAUUGGUGUCCAGCCCAGACCAUGACACUUGCUGCUUUUCUUCUUGGUGUGUCAAUAUCAAGAUUUGGUGGGUGUCGUGACUUGCUGCCAAGUUUACCUGGCAUUAACUCAGUAGAGUUGGAAGUUGAUGAGGAGAAGAAUGAGACAGAGAUCAUUUGAGGUCAGGCAUUAUAUUUCAGGGCUCCUUUCCUGCAAAGAAAUGCAUGCAGGCAGACCUUAUAUUACCUGGGUACAUAGAGGGCAUCAUUAUAGGGUAAGGUAGGAGAAUAGUGCAAUACUCAUUUGAUUUGCUAAAUUAGCAGCCUAAUGAGUUAAACAAAAGUGAAUUGACACAAGGUGCUGUCAGUAAGGUGACGUGAACUGGGGCAGUUAUUUCUCUCCUGGAAGUGUGGUUAUGCUGUUCUUAAUAAACCACUUACCUGGUGUAGGUUCUUCUGGAGAACAGGUGAGUAGAAGAGAUGGGGUUGGCUUGGGGUAGAAGAUUUUAUUUGUGGCAAGUAGGAAAGUUUGUCAGUAGUGAAUGACACGAAAGGGAAGAAUUUUGCCAGAAGUCAUCCGGGAUAUUUUAACAGGUGUUAAUCCUAUGGAAUUCUUUUGGUAUAGGACAUGA